UACGUAGGUGGCGAGCGUUGUCCGGAAUCAUUGGGCGUAAAGAGCGCGUAGGCGGCUUGUCAGGUCCGACGUGAAAUCUCAGGGCUCAACCCUGAACGUGCAUCGGAAACCGGCUUGCUAGAGUCUGGGAGAGGAGAGUGGAAUUCCUGGUGUAGCGGUGAAAUGCGCAGAUAUCAGGAGGAACACCAGUAGCGAAGGCGGCUCUCUGGAACAGUACUGACGCUGAGGCGCGAAAGCUAGGGGAG
rnacentral:rRNA from 1 species